CUACGGGGGGCAGCAGUGGGGAAUAUUGGACAAUGGGCGCAAGCCUGAUCCAGCAAUGCCGCGUGAGUGAAGACGGCCUUAGGGUUGUAAAACUCUUUCGCUAGGGAAGAUAAUGACUGUACCUAGUAAAGAAGUCCCGGCUAACUCCGUGCCAGCAGCCGCGGUAAUACGGAGGGGACUAGCGUUGUUCGGAAUUACUGGGCGUAAAGCGUUCGUAGGCGGACUGACAAGUUAGAGGUGAAAUCCCAGGGCUCAACCCUGGAACUGCCUUUAAAACUGUCAGUCUAGAGACCGGAAGAGGUUAGGGGAAUACCUAGUGUAGAGGUGAAAUUCGUAGAUAUUAGGUGGAACACCAGUGGCGAAGGCGCCUAACUGGUCCGGUACUGACGCUGAGGUGCGAAAGCGUGGGGAGCAAACAGGAUUAGAUACCCUAGUAGUC
rnacentral:rRNA from 1 species